rnacentral:rRNA from 1 species
UACGUAGGGGGCUAGCGUUGUCCGGAUUUAUUGGGCGUAAAGAGCGUGUAGGCGGCCAGGUAGGUCUGGUGUGAAAACUCGAGGCUUAACCUCGAGAUGUCAUCGGAAACCAUCUGGCUAGAGUCCGGAAGAGGAGAGUGGAAUUCCUGGUGUAGCGGUGAAAUGCGCAGAUAUCAGGAGGAACACCGGUGGCGAAGGCGGAUCUCUGGGCCUUACCUGACGCUGAGGCGCGAAAGCUAGGGGAGCGAACAGG